AGUAAGGGUUUUCUGUAAUGCA
rnacentral:miRNA from 1 species